AUACUGUUCCGCUAAUUAGCCU
rnacentral:siRNA from 1 species